rnacentral:tRNA from 1 species
UAUGAGUUAGUUUUAAGCAUUAAUUAUGGAAGUUUUCCUAGCUAUU